AAACCGCAUCGGGCCCCGAGCGCGUGUCCGAGCGGCUUAAAGGGGCCGUGCUGCUGCCUUCGGGUACCGCUGCCCCGGGAGACCCCCGGCGGCCCGGCCCUGCGGGGACCGGGCGGGAUGGGGACCGGGGCAGUGGACCCUCGGAGUUGGGAUGGGGCGGGGGGAACGCGGGCGUGGAGCCCUCCGGGGACAGGGUAAGGUUGGGUAACCGUGGGCGGGGGCUCCUCCAGGGGCGGGGGUGGGGUAACGGCGGGCGGGGGGCACUCAAGCGACAGGGCAGGGGCGGGAAGGCCGCGGGCGGGGGCGGUCCCUCCGGGGACGGGGCGGGUGGGGGCACCGCGGGCGAGAUCGCUUCCUGCAGAGGAGGCAACAGGCCCCGCUAGCAGGUCAGGGUCCCGGGCAGGCGCAGGUGCCCCCCGGCCUCUCAAGCAGGGACUGCGGCGAGCUCAGACGCGGCUGACGGGCAGAGACUCGCGCUUGGGCUCAGUGCGUGUGAAGUGGGCCUCGGGCUGCGGAGGAGGGCAGCACCCCGUGGCUCCUCGCGCUGCUGCGAGCAGGGCCGCCUGGCAGGGGCGGGGGCCGGUGGGCGGGAGUGUCGGGGUAAGGCCGCGGACUCCUCCCAUGCCGCUGAGCAGUGGACAGCGGGGACUGGAGACCUCCAGGUGAGGAAGGGGAACGAAGUCAAGAAGGCCACAUGUCCUGGCUUCCAGGCUUGGUGUCCUCAGAAGCCUCCAGAACGUCCAUGGAACCCGCCCCUGCGCCCACCGCCUCCUGCUGUCUUUCCAGCUGAGUUCCGGCUGCCCCUCACCCUCGGCUUCUUCACUCUGCCUCUCCCCAGCCAGCGCCCUGCUCCCCGGUCCUCAACCACCACCUUCCACCUGCCUGGGCCUUCAUCGCCUCCGAGCUCCCCUUCCACACCAAACCUGGCGUCCGUUUUCCUCCAGGCCUGCACCAGCACAGCUGAAGGGGAGAGAGACCCAACCUCAUCCACUGGGCCUCCCCUCAACCAGGGCCACAACCUCAAGGGGCCAUGCCACCUCCAACACCUAUUUCCCACCUUCUACUCUCUCCACACCCUGGGACACCACCCGCCUCUCUCAGCUGACGUUUUCCUUCUUGUUUUGUGUGCAUGGUGCUUGUGUGAGAAAGUGGACACACAGUAAGUGCGGCUUCCAGAUGCGUCCGCCACCUGCCCUCCGUGCCACGCGCUUCCCCCUACCUAGGGGAGCCUCCACCAGACAGGGAACCCACGCCUUGCCACCCUUCUCUCUCCCUCCCACUUCACCUGUCCGCAUCAUUUCUGGAGCCCUUUCUUUCUGGCACGAGAUGCUCCAGGGCCCUGUUGUAUUCUCCCUGCCCCAGCCUGAACCCAGCUAUUUCUGCUGCAGCCUGGUUCAUUGUGGGAGAAUGUCAUGCAGAGCCCGGGAUCUGGCUCCGGAUGUGCUCAUUGCUACUGGGGUGUCAUUGCAGCUGGCGGAGCAAGGGAACACAUCUAUGUACAUGCCCACACGCAUAUGUAUACACACAGUUUCAUGGGCGUGUUUGUCUGUUUUUCUUGGGCACCACGUGUUUACUCUGAUGCCAGGCCAACACUACAGGGCUCAACCUGUUCGGAAUGAGGGGCCUCCUGCUUUGGGAGUGAGGAACCUGGCUCUGAUUAUCUCCUGUGUAACCAGUCUCUCAUCCUUGCUUCCACCCCACCAUAUGCUACCCGCUCCUCACCCUGCGUGGCCUCUGACCUCCGCUGGACCACCGAGGCCCCGCCCCCACAGGGGCGCCUGCCUGCC
rnacentral:lncRNA from 1 species